GACGAACGCUGGCGGCGUGCUUAACACAUGCGAGUCGAACGGAAAGGCCCUGCUUUUGUGGGGUGCUCGAGUGGCGAACGGGUGAGUAACACGUGAGUAACCUGCCCUUGACUUUGGGAUAACUUCAGGAAACUGGGGCUAAUACCGGAUAGGAGCUCCUGCUGCAUGGUGGGGGUUGGAAAGUUUCGGCGGUUGGGGAUGGACUCGCGGCUUAUCAGCUUGUUGGUGGGGUAGUGGCUUACAAAGGCUUUGACGGGUAGCCGGCCUGAGAGGGUGACCGGCACCAUGGGACUACGAUACGGCCCAGAACCCCACCGGAGGCAAGCGGGGGGAAUUUUGCAGCAUAGGGCGGAGCCUGAAGCCACAACCCCCGGUGCGGGAAAACCGGCUUUCGGUUUUAAACCCAUUUUCCCGGUGGACUAGCCUUAGUGACGGUAAUUGGUUAAGAAGCACCGGCUAACUACGUG
rnacentral:rRNA from 1 species